rnacentral:rRNA from 1 species
GCACACUUGCUGUGAACUCGAAGAGUAGGGCGGGACACGUGGUAUCCUGUCUGAAUAUGGGGGGACCAUCCUCCAAGGCUAAAUACUCCUGACUGACCGAUAGUGAACCAGUACCGUGAGGGAAAGGCGAAAAGAACCCCGGCGAGGGGAGUGAAAAAGAACCUGAAACCGUGUACGUACAAGCAGUGGGAGCCUCUUUAUGGGGUGACUGCGUACCUUUUGUAUAAUGGGUCAGCGACUUAUAUUCUGUAGCAAGGUUAACCGUAUAGGGGAGCCGAAGGGAAACCGAGUCUUAACUGGGCGUUAAGUUGCAGGGUAUAGACCCGAAACCCGGUGAUCUAGCCAUGGGCAGGUUGAAGGUUGGGUAACACUAACUGGAGGACCGAACCGACUAAUGUUGAAAAAUUAGCGGAUGACCUGUGGCUGGGGGUGAAAGGCCAAUCAAACCGGGAGAUAGCUGGUUCUCCCCGAAAGCUAUUUAGGUAGCGCCUCGUGAACUCAUCUUCGGGGGUAGAGCACUGUUUCGGCUAGGGGGCCAUCCCGGCUUACCAACCCGAUGCAAACUACGAAUACCGAAGAAUGUUAUCACGGGAGACACACGGCGGGUGCUAACGUCCGUCGUGAAGAGGGAAACAACCCAGACCGCCAGCUAAGGUCCCAAAGUCAUGGUUAAGUGGGAAACGAUGUGGGAAGGCACAGACAGCCAGGAUGUUGGCUUAGAAGCAGCCAUCAUUUAAAGAAAGCGUAAUAGCUCACUGGUCGAGUCGGCCUGCGCGGAAGAUGUAACGGGGCUAAACCAUGCACCGAAGCUGCGGCAGCGACGCUUAGGCGUUGUUGGGUAGGGGAGCGUUCUGUAAGCCGUUGAAGGUGUGCUGUGAGGCAUGCUGGAGGUAUCAGAAGUGCGAAUGCUGACAUAAGUAACGAUAAAGCGGGUGAAAAGCCCGCUCGCCGGAAGACCAAGGGUUCCUGUCCAACGUUAAUCGGGGCAGGGUGAGUCGACCCCUAAGGCGAGGCCGAAAGGCGUAGUCGAUGGGAAACAGGUUAAUAUUCCUGUACUUGGUGUUACUGCGAAGGGGGGACGGAGAAGGCUAUGUCAGCCGGGCGACGGUUGUCCCGGUUUAAGCAUGUAGGCGGAGGUUCCAGGUAAAUCCGGUACCUUAUUAACGCUGAGGUGUGAUGACGAGGCACUACGGUGCUGAAGUGAUAAAUGCCCUGCUUCCAGGAAAAGCCUCUAAGCAUCAGGUAACACGAAAUCGUACCCCAAACCGACACAGGUGGUCAGGUAGAGAAUACCAAGGCGCUUGAGAGAACUCGGGUGAAGGAACUAGGCAAAAUGGUGCCGUAACUUCGGGAGAAGGCACGCUGAUAUGUAGGUGAAGUCCCUGCGGACGGAGCUGAAAUCAGUCGAAGAUACCAGCUGGCUGCAACUGUUUAUUAAAAACACAGCACUGUGCAAACACGAAAGUGGACGUAUACGGUGUGACGCCUGCCCGGUGCCGGAAGGUUAAUUGAUGGGGUUAGCGGCAACGCGAAGCUCUUGAUCGAAGCCCCGGUAAACGGCGGCCGUAACUAUAACGGUCCUAAGGUAGCGAAAUUCCUUGUCGGGUAAGUUCCGACCUGCACGAAUGGCGUAAUGAUGGCCAGGCUGUCUCCACCCGAGACUCAGUGAAAUUGAACUCGCUGUGAAGAUGCAGUGUACCCGCGGCAAGACGGAAAGACCCCGUGAACCUUUACUAUAGCUUGACACUGAACACUGGUCCUUGAUGUGUAGGAUAGGUGGGAGGCUUUGAAGCGUGGACGCCAGUCUGCGUGGAGCCAACCUUGAAAUACCACCCUUUAAUGGCUGGUGUUCUAACGUAGACCCGUAAUCCGGGUUGCGGACAGUGUCUGGUGGGUAGUUUGACUGGGGCGGUCUCCUCCCAAAGAGUAACGGAGGAGCACGAAGGUUGGCUAAUCCUGGUCGGACAUCAGGAGGUUAGUGCAAUGGCAUAAGCCAGCUUGACUGCGAGCGUGACGGCGCGAGCAGGUGCGAAAGCAGGUCAUAGUGAUCCGGUGGUUCUGAAUGGAAGGGCCAUCGCUCAACGGAUAAAAGGUACUCCGGGGAUAACAGGCUGAUACCGCCCAAGAGUUCAUAUCGACGGCGGUGUUUGGCACCUCGAUGUCGGCUCAUCACAUCCUGGGGCUGAAGUAGGUCCCAAGGGUAUGGCUGUUCGCCAUUUAAAGUGGUACGCGAGCUGGGUUUAGAACGUCGUGAGACAGUUCGGUCCCUAUCUGCCGUGGGCGCUGGAGAAUUGAGGGGGGCUGCUCCUAGUACGAGAGGACCGGAGUGGACGCAUCACUGGUGUUCGGGUUGUCAUGCCAAUGGCACUGCCCGGUAGCUAAAUGCGGAAGAGAUAAGUGCUGAAAGCAUCUAAGCACGAAACUUGCCCCGAGAUGAGUUCU